rnacentral:rRNA from 1 species
UUAAUAGCAUACUCAUUUGACGUUAGCUGCAGAAGAAGCACCGGCUAACUCCGUGCCAGCAGCCGCGGUAAUACGGAGGGUGCGAGCGUUAAUCGGAAUUACUGGGCGUAAAGCGCAUGCAGGUGGUUUGUUAAGUCAGAUGUGAAAGCCCGGGGCUCAACCUCGGAAUUGCAUUUGAAACUGGCAAACUAGAGUACUGUAGAGGGGGUAGAAUUUCAGGUGUAGCGGUGAAAUGCGUAGAGAUCUGAAGGAAUACCGGUGGCGAAGGCGGCCCCCUGGACAGAUACUGACACUCAGAUGCGAAAGCGUGGGGAGCAAACAGGAUUAGAUACCCUGGUAG